GGGGGCGUAAUGGCUUCGACGUACUUUAAGAGGCUUGAAAAGCAUGUCGAACUUUGGCUAAGUAGUUCGUAAAAUAAAUAGUCAAACAAUAAGUGCAAACAAUAGCACAUGGGCAUCUGCCCAACCAGCUUUUGCUUAAUUAAAGCUUAAGCCGCUUGUUAAAUGGUCAUGCCUAUAUGGUUGUUUAACUCGUAUUUACCCAAAUAGGACAACAAAGUAAGAUAGAUUUGGUUUGUAACUUUGCUGUAUCACUAACCAGGCAUAUAAAAAAAUACUUUGUCUUUAAAGUUUUUUAUAUGAAAAAGAGAUAAAGACUAAGCAUGUAGCGUUUUAAGUCGGUUAAUUUGCGGACAUGGGUUCGACUCCCAUCGCCUCCACCA
rnacentral:tmRNA from 2 species